GAAUUGAAGAGUUUGAUCAUGGCUCAGAUUGAACGCUGGCGGCAGGCUUAACACAUGCAAGUCGAACGGUAGCAGGAGAAAGCUUGCUUUCUUGCUGACGAGUGGCGGACGGGUGAGUAAUGCUUGGGAAUCUGGCUUAUGGAGGGGGAUAACCAUUGGAAACGAUGGCUAAUACCGCGUAAUAUCGAAAGAUUAAAGACUGGGACCGAAGGGCCAGUUGCCAUAAGAUGAGCCCAAGUGGGAUUAGGUAGUUGGUGGGGUAAAGGCCUACCAAGCCUUCGAUCUCUAGCUGGUCUGAGAGGAUGACCAGCCACACUGGAACUGAGACACGGUCCAGACUCCUACGGGAGGCAGCAGUGGGGAAUAUUGCGCAAUGGGGGCAACCCUGACGCAGCCAUGCCGCGUGAAUGAAGAAGGCCUUCGGGUUGUAAAGUUCUUUCGGUGAUGAGGAAGGUUGUGAUGUUAAUAGCAUGACAAAUUGACGUUAGUCACAGAAGAAGCACCGGCUAACUCCGUGCCAGCAGCCGCGGUAAUACGGAGGGUGCGAGCGUUAAUCGGAAUAACUGGGCGUAAAGGGCACGCAGGCGGUGACUUAAGUGAGGUGUGAAAUCCCCGGGCUUAACCUGGGAAUUGCAUUUCAGACUGGGUCGCUAGAGUAUUUUAGGGAGGGGUAGAAUUCCACGUGUAGCGGUGAAAUGCGUAGAGAUGUGGAGGAAUACCGAAGGCGAAGGCAGCCCCUUGGGAAUGUACUGACGCUCAUGUGCGAAAGCGUGGGGAGCAAACAGGAUUAGAUACCCUGGUAGUCCACGCUGUAAACGCUGUCGAUUUGGGGAUUGGGCUUUGAGCUUGGUGCCCGUAGCUAACGUGAUAAAUCGACCGCCUGGGGAGUACGGCCGCAAGGUUAAAACUCAAAUGAAUUGACGGGGGCCCG
rnacentral:rRNA from 1 species